UAAAGCAAAGAAGAGCGCAGAGUGAAUGCCUUGGCAUUGGGAGCCGAAGAAGGACGUGGUUAACUGCGAUAAGCUGCGGGGAGCUGUAAGCAAGCUUUGAUCCGCAGAUUUCCGAAUGGAGCAAUCCGCAUGAAGUAGUUCAUGCAUCCAUACGUGAAUUCAUAGCGUAUGGAGGGGAACCGCCUGAACUGAAACAUCUAAGUAGGGCGAGGAAGAGAAAUCAACCGAGAUUCCGUAAGUAGUGGCGAGCGAACGCGGAAGAGGCCAAACCGAGAGAAGAAAUUCUUUCGGGGUUCGGACUGCAUUUAGCAUUCUAGAUCUUUAGUCGAACAGUCUGGGAAGGCUGACGAGAAAGUGUGAGAGUCACGUAGACGAAAAGGAGAAAGAGCGAGCAGAAUCCAGAGUACCGCGGGGCACGUGAAAUCCCGUGGGAAGAUGGGGGGACCACCCUCCAAGCCUAAAUACUACCCAAUGACCGAUAGCGUAAAGUACUGUGAAGGAACGGUGAAAAGAACCCCGGGAGGGGAGUGAAAAGAACCUGAAACUCUGUGCUUACAAGCACAUAGAGCACGUCAAAGUGUGAUAUGGUACCUUUUGUAGAAUGGUCCGGCGAGUUAUGGUAUGCAGCGUGGUUAAGGACUUGAGGUCUGAAGCCGAAGCGAGAGCGAGUCUGACAAGGGCGAGAAGUUGUAUGCCAUAGACCCGAAACCGGGUGACCUAGCCAUGUCCAGGCUGAAGUGGAGGUAAAACUCCAUGGAGGGCCGAACCGACCUCCGUUGAAAAGGCGGCGGAUGAGAUGUGGCUAGCGGAGAAAUUCCAAUCGAACCCGGAUAUAGCUGGUUCUCCCCGAAAUAGCUUUAGGGCUAGCGUUGUAUUAGAUUACCGGAGGUAAAGCACUGAAUGGGCUAGGGGCUGAGAAGUUACUGAACCCUAUCAAACUAAGAAUGCCGGAUAAUUGAUGUACAGCAGUCAGACUAUGUGAGAUAAGUCUCAUAGUCAAAAGGGAAACAGCCCAGACCCACAGCUAAGGUCCCAAAAUGGAUUUAAGUGGAAAAGGAUGUGGAAUUGCACAGACAACCAGGAUGUUGGCUUAGAAGCAGCCAUACAUUAAAAGAGUGCGUAAUAGCUCACUGGUCGAGUGACUCUGCGCCGAAAAUUCAACGGGGCUAAAAUUCAUACCGAAGCUUGGGCUUGACAGAAAUGUCAGGGGUAGGGGAGCGUCGUAUACGAGGAGAAGUCAUAGCGGAAGCGGUGGUGGAUUGUAUACGAGUGAGAAUGCCGGAAUGAGUAGCGAGAAUUAUGUGAGAAUCAUAAUGGCCGAAAGUCUAAGGUUUCCUGAGGAAGGUUCGUCCGCUCAGGGUUAGCCGGGAGCUAAGGUGAGGCGGAAACGCGUAGCCGAUGCACAUACGGUAGAAAUUCCGUAGCCUCCGAAAAUUUAAACACAGGGACACUUUUGAAGGGCUGAGCCGGGCGUUGGUUGCCCCGGUUGUAAGGGACGCGAUAGAGCGGAAGUCAGUUUGGAGAGAGGCGAGAAAAGCUGUGUGGAUAUGGAAGGAGCCCGUACCGCAAACCGACACAGGUAGACAGGAAGAAGAUUCUAAGGCCAGCGGGAGAAAGGUUGUUAAGGAACUCGGCAAGUUGACCCCGUAACUUCGGGAGAAGGGGUGCUUACGAAGGUAAGCCGCAGAGAAUAGGCCCAAGCGACUGUUUAGCAAAAACACAGCUCUAUGCUAAAUCGAAAGAUGACGUAUAUGGGGUGACACCUGCCCGGUGCUGGAAGGUUAAGAGGAGAUGUGAGAGCAUUGAAUUGAAGCCCCAGUAAACGGCGGCCGUAACUAUAACGGUCCUAAGGUAGCGAAAUUCCUUGUCAGGUAAGUUCUG
rnacentral:rRNA from 1 species